ensembl:rRNA 5S_rRNA 5S ribosomal RNA
GUUUACGGCAACACCAGCUUGACAACGCCCAAUCUCAUCUGAUCUUGGAAGCUAAGCAAGUUUGCGCCUGGAUAGUACUGAGGUGGGACCCUACCUAGGAAUACCAGAUGUUGUAAGCU